rnacentral:rRNA from 1 species
CCCAGACUCCUACGGGAGGCAGCAGUGGGAAAUAUUGCACAAUGGGGGAAACCCUGAUGCAGCGACGCCGCGUGAGUGAAGAAGUAUUUCGGUAUGUAAAGCUCUAUCAGCAGGAACGAGACAAGACGGUACCUGACUAAGAAGCCCCGGCUAACUACGUGCCAGCAGCCGCGGUAAUACGUAGGGGGCAAGCGUUAUCCGGAAUCACUGGGUGUAAAGGGAGCGUAGACGGCUGUGCAAGCCUGAAGUGAAAGGCGUGGGCCCAACCCCUGGACUGCUUUGGGAACUGUACGGCUGGAGUGCAGGAGAGGUAAGUGGAAUUCCUAGUGUAGCGGUGAAAUGCGUAGAUAUUAGGAGGAACACCAGUGGCGAAGGCGGCUUACUGGACUGUAACUGACGUUGAGGCUCGAAAGCGUGGGGAGCAAACAGGAUUAGAUACCCUUGUAA